UACGGAGGGAGCUAGCGUUGUUCGGAAUUACUGGGCGUAAGGCGUACGUAGGCGGCGAUUCAAGUCAGAGGUGGAAGCCUGGAGCUCAACUCCAGAACUGCCUUUGAAACUAGAUUGCUAGAAUCGUGGAGAGGUGAGUGGAAUUCCGAGUGUAGAGGCGAAAUCCGUAGAUAUUCGGAAGAACACCAGUGGCGAAGGCGGCUCACUGGACACGUAUUGACGCUGAGGUACGAAAGCGUGGGGAGCAAACAGG
rnacentral:rRNA from 1 species